UGUAGGAAAAGUGAAACAAGCAGGCUCGUGAAUCUCCAGUGAUACAGACCCCCAAAAAAAGAAAAAGUUUCCAGUAUUCUCUAAAUGUGAAGUCAAAACUCAUCAUUUCCUCCCCAAACUUUUACAAGGCAUGUUUAAGAAAGAAUUACAGAUAAAAGUGAAAUAAACAUGCGAAGGCUGGUGAGGUGGAUGAAGAAAGCUUAAUGCCCUGCAAUCACUGACAUUUAGAGCGUAUCUUCAUUGCAGUAGUUGGAUUUCUCAUUUUAUCAAAUAUUUAGCAACUCACACUUUUGGCGAGAUCCUGUACACACAGGAACUGGAAAGGCCCCAUUUUGACUACAGUAAUGAAAAAGACCGAGAAGUAGGACAUGAAGAAAGAAAAAUUUUGGAAGAAAAAUGAAACAGCCAAGAUAAUUUGGAAUCCCCUGCUCAGCAGAGUGCUCUUGUGCUUUUCGUUCUGAGAAAUUUUAUCCCUUUAAAAUUUGCAUCGUAUUCCAAACAUAAGUUUGAAUAGGUGAAGAGCUGGAGCAAAAAGAUAAAAGUUUGGAAAUGCUUCUGUGCAAACCCCAGAGAUAUUAAGAGCUUUCUUUUGGGUGCAGGAGAUAGGAUGGAGGAGAUAUUGUAUGAUUACAUUUUAAAACUGUCUAGAAGUAAUGUAUUAGAGAUGAGGCAGAACUAGCUCUCUGCUCUGAUUUGUUUCUUGCCUCUGAACUGCUGUUUCUUUGGCCUUGUAAAUGCAGCAUUAUAAUGUAGAAGUCCUAAUGUUACUCUCACUCAAAUCAAUGGUAAAACUCUAAGUGACCUCAAGCAGAGAAAUGUACACGUUCUAGCGAAAUAACAGAAUGUAGCACAUCUUUCUUUAUACUGCACAUGUCCAUUUGCUGCAACAUAUGGAAUCAAAACAGACUCAAAUACAUAAAUUAGCUGAGUCAUAUGUUGGAAAAUAUUGCUUAUUUAAACACUGGCACCAUAGCAGAAAUCUGUUAGCUGUGCCAUUCUUGCAAGUGUAACAGUGAGAGAGAGGUAAAAAUGUGCAGGAGUGACAGACAACCAGCCUUUUCUAAAAGGCUGGCCCUUGAAUAUCAGCAGCUACAGUAGAACCAAAUUUUCAUUAUUGAAUUUUCCUUUUCGCUAGGUAAAAUGACGGAAGUGGCAAGCCAGGCAAAGACAAAAAUAGACUGUGAAAGAAUUUGGGAAGCAGUAAAAAUUUAGCUUUUGGGAAUCACACUACAAAUUUUUGUUUCUACUUGCAGAUCUCCACAACAGCACAAGAAUUAAAACAAUCCUAGUGAAAAGAAAAAAUAGAUUGCAUUUGGACCACGAGCAGCUGAGUUUUCCACAGAGCACUCUUCAAACCACUGCAAUUUCUCCCUCUCAGUUCCCCUUCCGGGAAACAUCUACAUAAGAUGAUUUUGCAAUAGCGAGAAUUACCUAAGAUGGCUUUCUCUGCCACCCAGUUUAGGGCAUUUCCUAGCUGUUAAAAGCUGCACUUUUUGGAGAUGAGCUUCCCAGCAGAGGAGUGGGGAACAAGGACUCUGGCAAUGGAGCCCCAAUAAUGUUUGGAAGGAGGAAGGGACAAUGAAGUGCCACCUCAAAUGGGCACACACAAACACAGUGAGAUGCGAUGUCGGACUGCAAACUCUUCUCAGCAUUCGGUCUCUCAUCUCAACAGUGGAUUGUUCCAUCAAAACUACUUAUCAGUAAUGUUUCAAAGAUGCCUAAAUCAAAUCAAGAGCGGCAAUGUAGAUUUCCUUCACUUCCAUAGAAAACAGUAAUAGAGUUCUCCUUUCUGGAUUUUGUGUUCAAAACGUGGAGACAAGAACCAGAUUCUUUCAUCAGGACAAGCAGAGAUCAGAAAAACACUAAGGGAAGCUUCAGACAAGAACAUGGCUAACCAGAGAUCAAGAGAAAGAUGUUUUGAAAGACAGACAUCUUGACAGGCGUCAGGGCUAGAUCCAGCAGAAUCCAGCAGGAUCAUGAACCAGGUUUUAGCAAGCCAGGUAACAGGAACAGAAUGAGCAGCAAGUCCCAUGCAGGCAGGAGGCAGGGUCAGAGCCCGGGGCUGAGGUGCCGAGGCAGGAGCGGAAUCAGGGUAGAAGGGGUAGCAGCAGCGUCAAGACUACAGAGGAGUGAUCAAAAGAGUGACUGCGACAGCGGAGCAGAAACCAGGCUCUAGAGAAUAUGGAGCUUUCCUCCAUGCAGAGAUACACGGAGCAGGAAAAAGCAAGCAGUACAAUCCCAUAGUAUAUCUUGCAUUUGCCGCAAAGUGCAGGUCAAUCUCCUUGACCAGCCUUCAGCUGGUUACACAAUUGCCGCAAUAAUAGACUGUGGGCAGCUACACCCUUGGCAAACCUGGGCAAAGUCUUCCAGUAAUCAGACAUCUGGUUUCAAGCCCAAUUACAAUCUCACAGUCAUACCAAGAGGUUCAUUUUAUUCCCCUCCGUUUCCCCAGGAGCACUGGUGGGGAAGGAGACCCAGGUCUUACACGUAACAGGUAAAGCACAAACUUGAACCUGGGUUUCCAAGGACAGAUUUAACUGAUGGGGCCAGAAGGAGUGCAUACAGAUACUGUUUUCUAAUGUAAAAUAUCUCUAGGAUAAAUCAAAUGGAAAGUAAUGACUAUUUUAUACUUCUUCCAAAACUGCAUAGGGCUUGGGAAGGAUGUCCAGCUAAUUUUAUGAGAUUCUGUAUCACAACAGAAACUUAGCAGUGACAUAUUGAAGUAUGACUUUCCUUUUCCUUUAGCAUUGCUGUUUCCAUAACCAUAUGGUUCAGAGUUGCAGACAUGUGUAUAAUAGAAAACUAAGGAAAACAGAAGAUGUAACGUAAAAUGGAAAAAGACUGGAUGGUAUCCCUAGUGCCGUAAGGUUCUGAUGCAAUUAAUAUAGGGAUAAGGGUGUGAAAUGCUUCAUUCCCUAAAUACCUGCAUUCCCUCAUCUCUAGAUGCCAGCCAGAAUCUUGGAUGCCAGACACUUAUACUAGCAGCUAAAAUACAAUUUAAAAAUGGAUGGCAGAAAGAAAUGACAGACUUGUACAGCUUGCUUAGGAGUGGGAUAAACCUAACCUUAAAAUACAUCUGUGUUUUUGGAAAACUGUAGAUUUCCCAGAGCCCAGUUUAGUGCUUACAACUGAAUGGCAAGUGGUCAGAACAUCUAUGAACAUACAUUUUUUAGACCCAAGUUCUCUAUUCUAUUAAACUUCUGAAAAUUAACCUAAAAUAUUUAUAUUAACUUGUCACUUUAGUUAUGGAAGAACUAUUUCUUAAUACUUAGUAUUUAUUAUUUGAUAAUCAGGGAGUUAAUCCAAAAAUAUUUAUAUAAACUUGUCACUGCAGUGGUGGAGGCACUACUUAUUAAUGAUUAGCAUUUAUUACUUAAUAAUUGGGGAAUCGAUAAUAUUUCAGAAGUUUACGUAAUCCUCCACAUGCUCAUCUGACUAUCCAGGCUAUUUCAGAAGUUUCUCAGCAAGUAUUUGUAAACUCUACCUCUUUGUACAACCACCAGCUGAUCCGCUCCAAGAUGUGGCUUACCCAUACUUCAUCUCUUCAUCAGCUCCUUCCGAUUCACAGAGGAGAUGCUUCGGGCCUGUUGUGUCUCCUGUAGACGCAACAGCAUUUCAGACUAUGACUGAUGUGAUUUAAAAAAGCAAUACAAAUAAUAAUACAAGUCAGUUUCCAACAAAUAAUAAUACAAGUCAGUUUCCAAGUUCUUUUACUUGCACUUUGGGAACAUAAUACGGAAAUAAUAGGCUCUGUUCAUAAACAGGAAUGUAGUUUAGUUCUAGGUUCUCAAAUAUUGUUUCUUUCCCUUUUCUUCUCCUCCCCAUCAAUUUUCUUGAUAAUCUUUCCUCUUCAUCAUUUUUCUUGAUAAAUGAGGGAGUUAUCACAAACACUAUACCCCACUUUUCAUUACCAGUGGCACUUUUUAUAAGAAAAUAAGGCUUAAAAAAAGGUUGCUGCACAACAUGCAGAUACUUCAUCUAGCUCUGAAUGAGCUGGAAACAGUACGAAAACAGGAAUAGAGCUCUCUGCCUGAGCUAACAUUGCCUGCUGUGCAAGGCAUCGCAUUGUGACAUGAAGACAUACCUUAACAUUUUGUUUCAUUUUAGAUUCAGGCGCUUUAGUUUACUGUAUGAGGGAAUCCUAAUUUCCUGCCAAAGACUUACCCCUGGAGGUGUAAAAUACUAAAGUAAAGAAAGCUACUUUGUUUUGUACAGCAGCAGGAAGAGGUACUAGGCAAACGUAAUUCUUGCAUGUGAAAAGUCAAGGGAACUGUUGCAGGACUAAUCAAGUCAAUUCCUUCAUUCAUACUGGGGGGAUCUGAACUGGCCAAAAGCCAUCGACCUCAUCUGUGGGACAACAGACAACUGUGAAGACCCUACAGACAGUACUUGAACAGCUGACUGGAAGCUAAGUAGGACCACAAUUUAUCAAGAGCUUCCUGAAAAAAAACAGCCUAAUUUUGCAUGUGAUGAACAGCAAUACAAACAGAGACACGCUAGUGGAGAAUAAAAUGACAAUAUAAAAUGCGAACAACACCUUUUAAAAGUGACUUGAUAGAAUCUCUGAAAUAAAUGGCCUAGGUAGUUAGUAUUAUCGAUGGAUAUUAUUAACGCAAUUAUUAAUUGCAUGGGCAUGUCCAUGCAUGCUCCAAAAAAUGUGUGCAAAUUGCCAGAUACAGAAUGUAACAGGUUUGCCCUUCCUGUUUGAAAGCAUGGCUAUCAUCAAAGCAAUAUAUCAGAUGUUCAUAAGGCCAAGCCUGAAGCCUUUUCUGUGGGAGACCAACACACUUGAAAAUAAAAAUCUUUUAAUAACCUGAAGGCAGCAAAGCUGGUGAAGUCAAUGGAAAAACAGAAACAAUCUUUCCCCCAGGAGUUACAUAGGUAUGGACCUGCAUUUUAAAAAUUAACACUAACGUGCCUCUCACUUUCUGAGUGUUCAGCUAGGAAUACCCUGACGAUGACUAACCUUCGGAGAGCGCUAAAGCAAACAUUUAGAAACGCUCAGAAAGGCUCAAGUUUGCCUUUCAAAGAAUGAUGCUCCCAAAAAUCAAUUCCGCGGGUUUUGUCCCAGCAAAAACAUGGCACUGAGUUCUGUGCAGCUGAAGUAAUAAACAAAAUAAUACUUCAGUAAAAGAGAGCUAAAGAGGCAAAGAGAGAAUCCUGAAUCCCUGUGAAAAGAGCCCUGCGACGGACUGUUGAAUUUGCACAGUGAGGGGGGUGCCCUGAGUGCCGGGCCUGCAGUAGAAGAGACAGUCUCCUGUCGACAUGAAACAGAAUAGAAGAACAAUCUGAAAUGCAAAUCACUGCUGAUACCUGUAACUGUGAUGAAAAUACAUGACAGGACCUUUAUCAGUCUCUUCCUCAAGAACCCCGAAUAUACAGAUACUGUCUCCUUUCGGAAGUGGAUUUCUCAAUGACUUUUCAAAAAAAGAGACUGUAGCACGGAGCUUCUUCACACAUUUCUCCUGAGUGACGCUAGUAGAGAGAACAUUAAUAGUUCAUCAGCUUUACAUAAAGCAAGACCCAGCCACUGCUUUCAUGUACACACAUGAUUAAAGUUACGUACCAAAAUAAUCCCAGUGAAAUCAAAUAAUUCAUUGCACACAAAGAGUGUGUGGAAGCCUCUUCAGGACUGUGGAGCACCAGUACGUGUAAAGUCCCUUUCUGAAAUAUUUGUUAAGAUAGCUACAUUGGUAUCUAAGAAUGACUUUAAUGCUGGCCUGACAUGGCUGGUUCAGUGGUGCUGGAAUAAAAAAAUUAGGAGACUAACUAUUAAUUUUUCUAGUUCAAAUAUUUUUGAGAAGUCUCUAUUAUGCUACCCUGUCAACUUUCCUCCCCACCUUUUAACUGAAAACUUUUAACUUCAAUUUUUUAUAAAACGUUACAGUCAACAAGAUCAUACCUUUUUUUAGAGAUAAUGGACCAGAUGGGGAAAUAAUAGCAACAGAGUAUCUAAGCUGAUACAGCUCUCUAUGUAUUUUGAAGCGUUGAUGCAAUUGAUUCUAGAAUACACAAGACAUUAUUCAGAAUUAGCAAAAUGAGCUACUUCAUUGGCUGCUUUGUGGCAAUGUACCAUCACAGCAACAAAACGACAGCAUGCAAGAAUGAAACGAUAGUUGAGAGGACAAAAUGACAUCUGGAGAGAUGAAUUACCAAAGCUCAGCACAAGCUGGCCAUUUUCCUUUUUCUAACAAUUUUUCUUCCACCAGAUUCACCUGUCCGUCCAUGUUUUUAGGUAUAUCUAUUUAACAUUUUUCAUAUUCUUUUAGUAGGAGGGACUACGAUGGAUAAUACAAAACAAAUCAGUUUCUUAGAAAGAAGCAACAUUUUACAGUCAGAGACAGAGAUUUUUCUUUUAUUUACUCUUUUGGUAUUCACUGGUAUUUCCCCUUAGUUUAAACCUCAUUUCUUUCUUCUUGUUGUUCACCUUACGAAGGUUGCAGAUUUAUGUAUGUAUGGCUUAUGGCAAUAUGUUUGUCUCGUGCCUGUUCUUUCGCUUGUUCUCU